rnacentral:rRNA from 1 species
CAGCCGCCGCGGUAAUACGAAGGGUGCAAGCGUUACUCGGAAUUACUGGGCGUAAAGCGUGCGUAGGUGGUGGUUUAAGUCCGUUGUGAAAGCCCUGGGCUCAACCUGGGAAUUGCAGUGGAUACUGGGUCACUAGAGUGUGGUAGAGGAUAGUGGAAUUUCCGGUGUAGCAGUGAAAUGCGUAGAGAUCGGAAGGAACAUCUGUGGCGAAGGCGACUAUCUGGGCCAACACUGACACUGAGGCACGAAAGCGUGGGGAGCAAACAGGAUUAGAGACCCGUGUAGUCCCUGUCUCUUAUAC